rnacentral:rRNA from 1 species
UACGUAGGGGGCAAGCGUUGUCCGGAUUUAUUGGGCGUAAAGAGCUACGUAGGCGGUUCGAUAAGUCGGGGUGUGAAAUCUCCAGGCUCGAACCUGGAAGGCGCCACUCGAUACUGUCGUGACUUGAGUUCGGUAGAGGAGUAUGGAAUUCCCGGUGUAGCGGUGAAAUGCGCAGAUAGUCGGGAGGAACACCCGUAGCGAAGGCGGUACUCUGGGCCGAAACGACGCUGAGGAGCGAAAGCGUGGGAGCAAAACAGGAUAGAUACC